ACCAGGGAUUGCCCUACAUAACGGCGAGUGAACAGGCAAGAGCUCAGAUUUGAAAGGCACUUUUGUGCCGUUGUAUUCUGAAGUUAGGGUCCUGAGAAACGAUGCUUAAGUCUUCUGGAAAGGAGCGCCAUGGAGGGUGAUAGCCCCGUCUAGCAUUGACCUCAUAUAGGAUCUUAACAUGGAGUCGAGUUGUUUGGGAAUGCAGCUCAAAUGGGUGGUAUGCUCCAUCUAAAGCUAAAUAUCUGCGAGAGACCGAUAGUAAACAAGUACUGUGAGGGAAAGAUGAAAAGAACUUUGAAAAGAGAGUGAAAAAGUACGUGAAAUUGUUGAAAUGGAAGGGUAGGCCGCUAACCAUGUAGAGCCGUGUUUGGGGGGAAGAUAAAUGCUGUAGAAUGUAGCUCCUCGGAGUAUUAUAGAUGCAGUUCAUAUUCCCACCCGAGCGCGAGGAUCUCAGGUUCUACUAAAUGGUGGUCUACCACCCGUCUUGAA
rnacentral:rRNA from 1 species